GUCCCAGUGGCCUAAUGGAUAAGGCAUUGGCCUCCUAAGCCAGGGAUUGUGGAUUUGAGUCCCGUCCCGGGGUG